rnacentral:lncRNA from 1 species
GCAGAUAACGCGACAAUCAUUUUCCUCCUCCAACCCCCAUAAGCACUGCCCGAGAAGGGAGUAGACACAAGACAGACUCCAGGAACAUCAGAGGAGUAAACAAAAAGGGGGGCUGGUAGAGUCUACUAAGGAGGUACUAGCAUUCAUAUUAGAAGCCAUGAACUAUCAGUUUGAAAUAAAAAAAAACAGUCUCAGAACCCACAUGCAAAACAUACACUUAGAACAAGGAUAUAGUUACCCUCCUUCUUCGCGACCGGAGAAGAACGGCCUUCAAUCGCCAGAUAAAACCCUAGGU